UACGUAGGGUGCGAGCGUUAAUCGGAAUUACUGGGCGUAAAGCGUGCGCAGGCGGUGAUGUAAGACCGAUGUGAAAUCCCCGGGCUUAACCUGGGAACUGCAUUGGUGACUGCAUUGCUGGAGUAUGGCAGAGGGGGGUGGAAUUCCACGUGUAGCAGUGAAAUGCGUAGAGAUGUGGGGGAACACCGAUGGCGAAGGCAGCCCCCUGGGCCAAUACUGACGCUCAUGCACGAAAGCGUGGGGAGCAAACAGG
rnacentral:rRNA from 1 species